rnacentral:rRNA from 1 species
CAGUCGCCGCGGUAAUACAGAGGUCCCGAGCGUUGUUCGGAUUCACUGGGCGUAAAGGGUAUGUAGGAGGUUUGGUAAGUCAGGUGUGAAAUCCCGCAGCUUAACUGCGGAACUGCAUUCGAUACUGCUGAACUAGAGGCUUGGAGGGGGAAGCGGAAUUCUUGGUGUAGCGGUGAAAUGCGUAGAUAUCAAGAGGAACACCGGUGGCGAAGGCGGCUUCCUGGACAAGUCCUGACUCUGAAACACGAAAGCUAGGGGAGCGAAUGGGAUUAGAUACCCGGGUAGUCCCUGUCUCUUAUAC